rnacentral:rRNA from 1 species
UAAACCCGCAGGCGCAAUGAAAGUGAAGGCCGCCCUUCAGCGGGGCCGAGGGAGGACGGGGGCCCCUUGAGGGCCCCCCGCACUCCCGGGGCGUCUGAUUCCUCNCUGCGAGGGGAGGCGCACCCAGAGCGCACACGUUGGGACCCGAAAGAUGGUGAACUAUGCCUGGCCAGGACGAAGUCAGGGGAAACCCUGAUGGAGGUCCGUAGCGAUUCUGACGUGCAAAUCGAUCGUCGGAGCUGGGUAUAGGUGCGAAAGACUAAUCGAACCAUCUAGUAGCUGGUUCCCUCCGAAGUUUCCCUCAGGAUAGCUGGCUCUCGGAGUGGAGUCUCAUCCGGUAAAGCGAAUGAUUANAGGCCUUGGGGCCGAAACGACCUCAACCUAUUCUCAAACUUUAAAUGGGUGAGAACUCCGGCUUGCUCGAUCGAGUAUCUUGUCAAUGAAG